AGCGAGCAAACACACGCGCCUUCAGAGGGAGGUGGCGCUGUCCGAGGUCCUGAAACAGGAACCAGAGGUGUGUGCUGCGCCUAAUGCCACUAGGCGCGUGGGAAACUGAGACAUCCCAAGUCCAGAGAGAAGGCGAGGGAAACAGACCUGUCUAACCCGACGAACCUCGCGCGACUGUCCUUUUCUAGCAGCAUCGUGGGCAGGCAGCUGAUCCCAAGUACCCCCGAAAAUACUAUGGAGGAGGAGAAAUAUUUACCCGAGCUGAUGGCAGAGAAAGAUAGCCUGGAUCCCUCCUUUGUUCAUGCAAUGCGCCUUUUGGCAGAAGAAAUUGAAAAGUUCCAAAGUUCUGAUGAGAAAAAGGAAGAUGAAGAGAAAAAAUACCUUGACGUCAUCAGCAAUAAAAAUAUAAAGCUGUCUGAAAGGGUAUUGAUUCCUGUGAAACAGUAUCCAAAGUUUAAUUUUGUGGGAAAAUUGCUUGGUCCAAGAGGAAAUUCCUUGAAAAGGCUACAAGAAGAAACAGGGGCCAAAAUGUCUAUCCUGGGAAAAGGUUCUAUGAGAGACAAAGCAAAGGAAGAAGAAUUAAGGAAGAGUGGGGAAGCCAAAUAUGCACACUUGAGUGAUGAACUACAUGUAUUAAUUGAAGUGUUUGCCCCACCCGGGGAAGCUUAUUCACGGAUGAGUCAUGCCUUGGAAGAGAUUAAAAAAUUCCUUGUUCCAGAUUAUAAUGAUGAAAUUCGUCAGGAGCAAUUGAGGGAAUUAUCAUAUUUAAAUGGUUCAGAAGAUUCAACUCGUGGACGAGGCCUUCGAGGAAGAGGGAUCCGGGUUCCUCCUGCUGCCCCCUCAAGGGGCCGUGGAGGUGCAGUUCCUCCACCACCACCUGGACGAGGAGCUCAAGCACCAAGAGGAACCCCUGUGACCCGAGGUGUACUUUCAGUGGCACCUGUGGCCAGGGGUAUUCCAACCCCUCGAGCAAGAGGAGUUCCAGCAGUACCAGGUUACAGACCACCUCCUCCUCCAGCACAUGAAGCCUAUGAAGAAUAUGGUUAUGAUGACGGUUACGGGGGUGAAUAUGAUGAUCCAAGUUAUGAGGCAUAUGAUAAUAGUUAUGCUACACAAACACAGAGUCUGCCUGAAUAUUAUGACUAUGGUCAUGGAACAAGCGAAGACGCUUAUGACAGCUACGCACAAGAAGAAUGGGCCAUAACCCGUCCAAGCUUAAAGGCACCACCUCCCAGGUCAACCAGAGGGGGUUACAGGGAACACCCCUAUGGUAGAUAUUGAAGGUCCUACUCAUCUGUGACCUCACCUUAAAGACAAUUAAUAACCCAUGGUCUCCACGUAAACAGCAGCAAGACAAGCAUGCAAACACAAUGGACAACAAAACAGCGGAUGGUUGCAUAGUGCUCAGGUAAGUUAUAUUUUCAGUCCUUCAUUUAGCAAGCAUAUCAAACAACAAUUCUGUUUCCUCGGAGUAUUUUUUUAUUUUCAUUAUCCCACGGGAAUGCUGACCAUAUAAAAUUGUACUUAUUUCAGUCAGACUGCAGGGCCGUAUCCUGUGCACUCUUUACUUGGAAGGAGCUUGGGGAAAUUAUUUCUGAAUAUUUGAACAGGGCAAGGAAAUUCUCACAUAUAAAUGUGGUGGAUGUCCAUGCUGCAACGCAAGAGAUUUUUGCCAGAAAAGAAAACACGUGGAACAUUAUUGCCAGUGUAGAAACAAGUGGGAUUGUGUGGUGUGUGUAUUAGAGAGAGGGAGAGAGAGUGAUGAGGCAGUUUCUGAUGUCUACCAGUUUUAUGACCGUGAUGUAUUGAGUCAUUUUUCUUUUAAAGGCAGGAACGCUUCUUUGGAAAUCAUCGUAUAAGUUCUAUAAAUAAACUAUCCUUUGGAAGCAAAAAGGCACUAAGUGUACAAAUUGUUUUUCAGAACCUGCAUAGGUGAAGUUGGCAUUUGACCAGAUUCAAUAAAGUUUGUGUGAGAUCUGAUUAAUUCUUCCCCCUGCUGACUGAUUUUGCAUUGUGAUAGAACCUUUUCAUGUGUGUUGCUCCACAGGAAUUCCUUUGUGAAGGAAACACUGGAUUAGGCCUAGAAAACAUUCUGAGAGAUGGGUAUCCAACUUUGUUCCAGAAUUAGAAAUUCAGUGUUCCAUUGCGUUAUGCUUGCUGACUGGAAGGGAAAUGGAUGGAACUCAAGGAAAAUACAUGAUGACUGUCGUUCUUGUUUCUCGUGAACUGGAAGGGCUUUGGAAUGGACUGUGCAUGUCACACAAAAAGCAGGCACUUUUGAUUUAACAUGAGGAACAAAAUAAGGUACAGAGCAUUCCAUUAUAUGCCUGCUCAGAAACCCUUAAAUGGAUGAGGCAUCUAUUUGCAUCUGAUAGGAGUUAAGUGGGACAUUAAAUUAAUGCCAAACAAGUUCCUGAUUUGUGUUGAGCUACAAAAUGGGAGGGGAGGUUAACUCUUAAUUAUAUCGGUUUAAGUGCUCUGUGGAGCUAUAAUCUGUCCUACAAGGGAAAAUGUACAGGCACCACCACCAAAUCUCCAGGGAUUUCUCAAGUCACAUUUGGCAACUGUAGCCUCGCUGGCUGUGAAUUCAAGGUGGGAAAAGAUCAGGGCAUCCAUUCACAACCCUUCUGUCAUCGCAUCUGGUUUGGCUACAAGUCUCACAGGACUGCAUAAUGUGCCAAAAUUAUGAGUUUCCCAUAUCAGUUUCAAAAGACACAGGAAAAAAUUCUAAUGGACUAAGAUGGAAGGAGACAUAAGGUUGCCCUUUCCUCGACAUCUGAGUGUUUAAUUCUGGGAAACAAGGACGGUUCAAGAUGUUCAGCCUGAAAAAUCAAAACUGCUAAUCACAUUUUGUUCAGGCUAGUGACAGCUGUAAACCAGGAAGAAAGGCAAUGGCCAGCAAGUCAAAACAUUGUGUUUGAAAAGGUCAAGCUGAUAUUUACCUUCUUAGCAUUCCAAGGAAGGAUGACUUGAACAUCUAGGCAACAGUUUGCCCUGAAGGGAAAAAAGAUAAUGACAAAAAAAAAACCUUGUAACCACAUGGAAAAAAGUUUAACGAAUAAAUCUGUUGCAAGUAUUAAAA